rfam:Clostridium sp. 7_2_43FAA genomic scaffold supercont2.4, whole genome shotgun sequence.
GACAAGGGUAGAGGCGCGAUACUUAAGAGUACUAUUAAUGAGGUAAGCACAGUGAUUUAAUAGGAAAGGAAAUAUCGCCGAAGCGUAUGAUUGAUGCUUUAAAAUCAUAUGGCUGGGGUUGCAUAAAAUAUAUGUAACACUGUCACAAACUUAUUUUGUGGUGAGCUAUCGCUUGA